rnacentral:rRNA from 1 species
UACGUAGGCAGCAAGCGUUGUUCGGAAUUACUGGGCGUAAAGAGUGUGUAGGCGGUGCUCUAAGUUUGGUGUGAAAUCUCCCGGCUCAACUGGGAGGGUGCAUCGAAAACUGGAGUGCUCGAGGGUGGGAGAGGUAAGCGGAAUUCCUGGUGUAGCGGUGAAAUGCGUAGAUAUCAGGAGGAACACCUGUGGUGUAGACAGCUUACUGGACCACUUCUGACGCUGAGACACGAAAGCGUGGGUAGCAAACAGG